rnacentral:rRNA from 1 species
CCCUAGCGGAGGAAAAGAAACCAACCGGGAUUGCCUUAGUAACGGCGAGUGAAGCGGCAAAAGCUCAAAUUUGAAAUCUGGUACCUUUGGUGCCCGAGUUGUAAUUUGGAGAGGGCAACUUUGGGACCGUUCCUUGUCUAUGUUCCUUGGAACAGGACGUCAUAGAGGGUGAGAAUCCCGUGUGGCGAGGAGUGCGGUUCUAUGUAAAGUGCCUUCGAAGAGUCGAGUUGUUUGGGAAUGCAGCUCUAAGUGGGUGGUAAAUUCCAUCUAAAGCUAAAUAUUGGCGAGAGACCGAUAGCGAACAAGUACAGUGAUGGAAAGAUGAAAAGAACUUUGAAAAGAGAGUGAAAAAGUACGUGAAAUUGUUGAAAGGGAAGGGCAUUUGAUCAGACAUGGUGUUUUGCGCCCUCUGCUCCUUGUGGGUGGGGGAAUCUCGCAGUUCACUGGGCCAGCAUCAGUUUUGGUGGCAGGAUAAAUCCGUAGGAAUGUAACUUGCUUCGGGAAGUAUUAUAGCCUAUGGGAAUACUGCCAGCUGGGACUGAGGACUGCGACGUAAGUCAAGGAUGCUGGCAUAAUGGUUAUAUGCCGCCCGUCUGAAA